CACGUGGUUUUCGGGUUAAAGUCAGUUCGUAAAUCGAAGAGGCGUAAUCAUCAGUCGAAAAUGAGUCGAUACGUUUUGCUGUUACUGUUGCUGGCUGCGUAUGCCGAAAGUGCCGCUGUCCCUAUAAUGAGACAGUGCCUUGGCGAGCAUGAAGUCUGGAUGCCAUGCGGAGAUUGGUGCAAUCCUGGAUGCUAUUUGAGUCCGAAAUUACAAUGCAAAGUGGUAUGCUACCCGGAGUUAGAUCACGGAAGCUGCGGCUGCGUGCACGGAUACAGAAGAGACGCCGAUGGCAGAUGCAUCAAGUGUUAACUGAGACAAGCUGCGAAGCGUACGAAAAGCGAGAAGAGAGAGAGAGAGAGAGAGAGAGCAAUGUACUUCUAAUCAGAAAAUGUUCGCACGGUAAACUGACGCUUAUAAAUGAGAGGAAGAAAUCAAAAAUGGAAGGAAAGUGAGGGAGAUUAAAAAAAACAUUCGUACCGUAUAUCGUCCGUGGAAUUCGUUUCGGUGGAGAGGUACGUAAAACGACGGAAGGGAAAGUGCGAAAAAUUGGUGACCGCGCUUCUGAUAAUUGAAUGGCUGCGCCGUUCUAUGGAUUUAUCUCUGCUACCAGAAUUUUCCAGUGCGCCCUGGAAUAGUUAAACCUUGACCUUUUAUAUCGGACCCGAUCUUCCCGAGCUUCUCCCGAGUUUCUAUCGAAGAUGCAAUUAAUAAGCGCCAAACCUAAUAGCGGGCUCAAUCGUACUUAGCGCUCCCUAUAUUUAUCCCGUUGCUACUGAUUUAAUUGCUGUUUCGAGGACAGCUUCGCACAAUACUUCUGAGGCCGUGCAAUUAAAAUACAAGACCCGUCGACUUCGAAUCCGAAUUACAGACUUUUCAUCGAUUUUAAUUUCGGAGUACAAUACGCGUUUCAGCGAAAUUUGGUAAAUGUUAACACCUUACCUGUCGCAGAUUUUUCAUCAUUCAGUGUCAGCCGAGAUGACACUUUUUAAGAAUUUCUUAAAAAAUCAUGGUUUGUUUUUCAUACCGUAAGAUAAUUAUGUAAGAUGCAUAAAUGAAAAAAGAGAAAAUCAUUUUUCCUAUAAGAUUUUACAGCAUACAGUAUAAUGAUUUUUAUUUCCAUUUAACUUUCUACAGCAGAACUGUAAUUUUUGUGAAUGACUCCGUUAAAUUAUUUAGAUUAAUAUGACGUAAGAAGUUCUUUUGAAGUUAUUAUAUAAAAAUUAUCGAGCUUAGACACAGUUCAGUCAUUGAAAAGAUUGUCAAAUAGGUUCCCGGUAAAUAAAGUGUUAAUCACAAUUUAUCUCAUUUACUUUUGCAUUCAAGACAUUAUGCAUGCUUAGCAACAAUUGAAUUUAAUAUAAUUAUACCCGAAUAAUUAUUUCAUAAUUUUCGUUGCAAGCAGACCGCAGAUUCUCAUGGAAAACAAAAGUUCUGUGCACCAACCGCAGCCAGCAAAUGCUAAACGCGAACCAACUUUUAAUAACUUUAAUAAGUUGGAAAUAAUGCAAAACUAAAUAAACAUCGAUUUUCAUUUCGAUUGUUCCGUA